GGUCAAGCUACAAAGGGCGCAUGGUGAAUGCCUUGGCAUCAGGAGCCGAUGAAGGACGUGAUAAGCUGCGAUAAGCUUCGGGUAGGCGCACAUAGCCAGAGAUCCGGAGAUUUCCGAAUGGGGAAACCCGCAUGAGAAACCUCAUGCAUCGUAAAGUGAAUACAUAGCUUUAUGAAGGAACACCUAGGGAACUGAAACAUCUAAGUACCUAGAGGAAGAGAAAGAAAAAUCGAUUUUCUUAGUAGCGGCGAGCGAAAAGGAAAGAGCCCAAACCAGAGAUUUAUCUCUGGGGUUGCGGACAGAACAUAACGUGAAAUUAUGAUUAACCGAACACAACUGGAAAGUUGGACCGUAGGAGGUAAUAGUCCUGUAAGUAAAAGUCAUAAUGAUCAGUUCUGCACCAGAGUACCACGAGACACGUGAAACCUUGUGGGAAGCAGGGAGGACCACCUCCCAAGGCUAAAUACUACCUGAUGACCGAUAGUGAAGCAGUACCGUGAGGGAAAGGUGAAAAGAACCCCGGGAGGGGAGUGAAAUAGAACCUGAAACCAUGUGCCUACAACCGAUCAAAGCACCUUAUGUGUGUGAUGAUGUGCUUUUUGUAGAACGAGCCAACGAGUUACGGUAUGUAGCGAGGUUAAGUACUUAAGGUACGGAGCCGAAGGGAAACCGAGUCUUAAUAGCGCGACUAGUUGCAUGCUGUAGACCCGAAACCGGGU
rnacentral:ncRNA from 1 species